rnacentral:rRNA from 1 species
CUUGGUGGUUCUUGCGAGAGGGAAACACCUCUUCCCAUCCCGAACAGAGCCGUUAAGCCUCUCAGCGCCGAUGGUAUCCUUUCCUUUAGGAGAGGGGAGAGUAGGUCGCCGCCAAGA